rnacentral:rRNA from 1 species
UUUAUUGGAGAGUUUGAUCCUGGCUCAGGAUGAACGCUGGCGGCGUGCCUAAUACAUGCAAGUCGAGCGAAUGGAUUGAGAGCUUGCUCUCAAGAAGUUAGCGGCGGACGGGUGAGUAACACGUGGGUAACCUGCCCAUAAGACUGGGAUAACUCCGGGAAACCGGGGCUAAUACCGGAUAACAUUUUGAACUGCAUGGUUCGAAAUUGAAAGGCGGCUUCGGCUGUCACUUAUGGAUGGACCCGCGUCGCAUUAGCUAGUUGGUGAGGUAACGGCUCACCAAGGCAACGAUGCGUAGCCGACCUGAGAGGGUGAUCGGCCACACUGGGACUGAGACACGGCCCAGACUCCUACGGGAGGCAGCAGUAGGGAAUCUUCCGCAAUGGACGAAAGUCUGACGGA